ACCCGCUGUGAUAGCUCAGUGGCUAGAGCAUGAGACUCUUAAUAUCAGGGUCAUGGGUUCGAGCCCCACAUUGGGCA